UACGGAGGGGGCUAGCGUUAUUCGGAAUCACUGGGCGUAAAGGGCGCGUAGGCGGGUUCUUAAGUUAGGUGUUUAAUCCCGGGGCCCAACCCCGGACCGGCACUUAAAACUGGGAAUCUUGAAUAGUGGAGAGGUCAGUGGAAUUGGGGGUGUAGCGGUGGAAUGCGUAGAGAUCCCCAAGAACACCAGUUGCGAAGGCGGCUGACUGGACACAUAUUGACGCUGAGGCUCGAAAGCAUGGGGAGCAAACAGG
rnacentral:rRNA from 1 species